AAUGAAGUUCUUUGAAAUCAAUGGUUCUCAAACCUGUGUGUGCCUCAGUGUCGCCUGUAGGGCUUGCUAAAAAGUAGGUUGCCUGGCCUCCAGGCCCAGAAUUUCUGAUUCAGCAGAUCUGAAGGAGAUCAUUUCUAACAAGUUCUCAGUUGAGAGCACAGAACACAUGGACAUAGAAGAUGAGAAUCCGCUUGUUUUCACUCCUUCCUACACAGGAGGAGUUGCCAAUACGAGCUUCUGGACAGUUGGCCAGUGGUCUCUGUGCCGUUUAGGUGGUUCUCUUCUCCCUUCAUGUUUUGACCCAGCAUGCCUAGCCUGUCCAGUGGUUGUUCACUGAUAAAAGAAAAUGAUAUCAAAAUGUAAGUAUGUAAACAAUUAAAUGUUUAUAGCCUAUCCGUUGACAUUUGAGCUUAGAAUUUUGGGUUGAUAGCCUUAAAAUAUUUUUUUUUUCAAAUUGUAGUAUUUAAAAUUUCUCAACAUUUUUUCAAAUGAGUCACUUCAUUUUAUUACCAUAUAAACCAUAUGUUGGCAGGGGUUAUUAAUAUUUUAUUAAUGUGAGAGAAAGACAGAGACUCAGAAAAGUAUACUCAGGAAAAGUAUAUAUAGGCCUAGACCAGAGUUUAGGUGAAAGGACUGGAACUCAAGCCAAGAUUUUUUGGCUUUUAUUCCUUUGUCACUUUGCCUAAACAGUAGAAUGGCAUGAAAAAAUUUUAAACACUAAUCUGGAAGCAGUGUUUCCAGGUAGGAAUGGAGGGAAAAGACUAAAAAAAAAAAAGAGAUCAUUUGGAGUGCUGUUAAAGAAUUCUAGAUGGAGUUCACAAAGACAUGAAUUUAAAUGGUAGCUGUGGAAAUGGAUCCUGCUUACCAGCUUCUUAACUGUGUCCUGUGUCCUUUUACACAUUUUCUGUGAGAACUAGUUUGAUUGAGAGUCUUUACAAUCCUUUUAAAAGUCUCUCUGGUGUUUUUUACAAUGAGCUGAAUGCUUUUGGAUAAUCUCUCUGAUUUAUCUAAGCUUAGUAAAAUGUUCAAUAAAAGUGGACUAUUUGAAUUCAGUGAAAGAGCACAGGCUGCUGUUAGAUUUUUGGAAUGUUUUCUAAUUUCUUCAUUUAAAUGGGUAACAAAUUAAGCAUUCAAGGAAAAGAAUAUGCUCUAUGGGUUUCAUCCCUAUGAAAAACACUGAAGUUUGAGGGUUGGCCAGAGAACUUUUGUGAAUUUGCCAUCUUCCUUGUCUCAACUCCACAUUUCUUCCUGUUGCCUUGGUUUAUUUAUGUGUGGGCUGUAUUUAGGUGAAUAUUUCCUUGUGGAUUAUAAUGUUAAUCUGGGCAUGGUAGAGCUGAAAGGGCACUAAUCAAGAAUUUACAGGACCAGCAUCUAGGUCAGACUCUGUUACUUCCUUAAGUUAAAUUCUAAGUGACUUAGAUUAAAUCAUUCAUCCUUAUUGCCUUAGUUUCUUCAAAAUAGAGAUUCUGAAUUCUUCUAUUCAUUUUCUUUACCUUAUAGAUGCAUUUAAUACCAUCAAAUAAAAAACAAAAAUGCAGUAUAGCUCAAGGAAAUUUACUCAGUAUUCUGUGAUAACCUAAAUGGGAAUGAAUAUGUAUAUAUGCAUGUUUGAAUCACUUUGCAAUACAGCAGAAAUUAACACAACAUUAUAAAUCAACUGUACUUCAAUAAAAUUAAACUUUUUAAAAUGAAUAUUUGCUUUUUAAAAAAUGAUUAACCAAGGAUUAAUAUAUCUUGUCAUUUAUUUGAAUGUUAAAAAAUAUAUGGCCUAAUUUGAUGAAUGGUAUGAGGUUCCAAUUACUGAUUCGAAGCCAACUGAUUAGCGGGGAAGGCUAAUCUAUAAAUAAAGAGAUAAUCAUAUAUCUGUGUGGCCAAUUCGGUAGAUUGACUCACUAAAUACCAUUCCCAAACCCCUUCUGCAUGCUUUUCUCUUCUUAUAGAGGCUGGGAAGCUAAUAGUUGCAUUUUCUGGAUUGUUUGCUGCUAGGUUUCUGCAUGUAAUCUAGGAUCUUUUCAGCAGACAAACACAAAAAAGACUCAAAAGCCAAAGGUAGGCAACAUGAGGCACUUACAUCUAAUUUAUUGUUUAGCAUUCUCCAAAGAAAGAGAACCAAUAGCCAAUGGUAUUUUAUAUAUAAAUUGGCUCACACAGUUGUGGGUGGUGGCAAGUCCAAAAUCUGUGGACAAGCCAGCAGACUAGAAAUCAUAUAAGAGUGGGUGUUGCAUUAUUGAGUCCAAAAUCUGUAAAGCAGGUCAACCGUUCAAAACUCAGGUGAAUUUCUAUUUUGUAGUCUUGAGACAGAAUAUCUUCUUAGAGAAACCCGUCUUUGCUCUCAUGACCUUUAACUAAUUAGAUGAGGUUCGUGUACAUAUCAUGGAUGGUAAUCUGCUUUAUGCAGGGUCAGCUAAUUGUAAAUAUGAACUAUAUCUACAAAAUACCUUCAAAGCAACAUCUAGACUAGUUUUUGAUCAAACAUCUGGGUAUUUUAGCCUAGUCAAGUUGGCACACAAAUGAACAUAAUUGAGAAGAUCAAAUUUGGGGCAGCUUUGUUAGCAUUUCUACUGUCCAAGCUUAAUGGCAUAGAUACUGAACAAUGCAUCACAGGAAUAAUGGUGGUUGUUGUUUUUUUUUUUUUUAAUAUUCUGGGUAUACAUAAACCAAGUUGAUUUUCCUGGGCAUCUGAGGCAUUUUUAAAAAACUUCUCAAUAACAUCUAGCUAGUUUAAACAAAAUUUAGAGUGCAUACUAUUGUCUGCAACUAGCAACUCUAGAAAAGGUAGAAGUGCUUCCAAGUGCCAUAACUCAAAGCUGUAAAGCCUAGAAUUGGUUUUCUGACCUAGACUGAGUUUGAAACAGUGACAGUUCAGUCAGCAUCAGGGAAUGAGGUACUGGUAGUCCAUGAUGGUCACGGAGGCAAGGUCACAGAGUUACCUAAAUGAUCCCCCUCAUCUCUUCGAAUAAAUUUCCUCAUUAAAUCAAGGCUUUAUGAGACUGAAUGGAUACCAUGAGAGAUAAUUUUAAAGGACAGAAGAAUACAAAUACUCUAAGGCGAGCUGGCUGUUGUGAGUGCAGUAAGGAACUUAUGGGAAAAAAAUAGCAUGAUUAAGGUUUUAAAUACUUGUUUAAAUAACUGUCAGGUUCUCAGAACUGAACCAAAAAAAAGGGGGGGUGGGGAGAAAGGGGUCUCCUUUUUCCCACAUUGCAACAUUGCUAUCAUCAAAAAUAAGAUGCAGUUUAAUUUUGAUUAUGGUGCUAAAUUACAGUUAUUGGUUGGCUGAGCUCAUAGCCAUGUGAAAGUUAGGGCAUCAAUGGAGAAAAACUGCAGAAAUCUGUUGAAUAUAUGUUUGAAUGGAUUCUGAGGCCAAAGAUGGGGAAGUAUAAUUAUUAAUGAAUUGAUUUAUAUAGGAAACUUAUAAGGAUUCUGGACUCGAUGUGCUGGAAAGAACAGCUGAGAAGGUUCUGCUUGAUUAAUUAGUUAACCUAUAUUAGGCCUCAGAAGAGCUUGUACUAAAUGAAAUUUAAAUAACAAAAUUUCCUUGUGGUAUAAUCCCGUGAAGGAAACACAAUAGCUUAGACAUAGGAAUUUAUUAUGUGCAUCCUACUUAUCUACUCUCAAAUACAGUCCUCAGGACAUUCCAAAGGACAUUCUUCUCCAAGGCACUUGGGAGAGCACUGGCAUCUUUGAAAAGUACUAUGCCAGCUAUCCUCUGUAGACUGGGAUGAGAAGGGGCAUGCUGCUAUUGAAGUGGGUUUUCUCAUUUCACAGUGGAAGAGGCUAACCAUCAGUAUUCCAUUGCCAAGCAAAAUGGCCUGAUUAUAAUGAUGGGCAGCAGAGAAAGGAUAGUAAUCAAAAUAUUUUGGUCAACCUAGGUCUUUGUUGACCUCAAAUUUAUUAUGAAGUCUUUGGU
rnacentral:lncRNA from 1 species